rnacentral:rRNA from 1 species
UACGUAGGGGGCAAGCGUUGUCCGGAAUCAUUGGGCGUAAAGCGCGUGUAGGCGGCCCGGUAAGUCCGCUGUGAAAGUCCAGGGCUCAACCCUGGGAUGCCGGUGGAUACUGUCGGGCUCGAGUCCGGAAGAGGAGUGUGGAAUUCCUGGUGUAGCGGUGAAAUGCGCAGAUAUCAGGAGGAACACUCGUAGCGAAGGCGGCACUCUGGGCCGAUUCUGACACUGAGGAGCGAAAGCGUGGGGAGCGAACAGG